rnacentral:rRNA from 1 species
GGUGAGUAACACGUGAGUAACCUGCCCUUGACUUUGGGAUAACUUCAGGAAACUGGGGCUAAUACCGGAUAGGAGCUCCUGCUGCAUGGUGGGGGUUGGAAAGUUUCGGCGGUUGGGGAUGGACUCGCGGCUUAUCAGCUUGUUGGUGGGGUAGUGGCUUACCAAGGCUUUGACGGGUAGCCGGCCUGAGAGGGUGACCGGCCACAUUGGGACUGAGAUACGGCCCAG